UACAGAGGGUGCGAGCGUUGUCCGGAAUCACUGGGCGUAAAGGGCGCGUAGGUGGCCCGACAAGUCAAUGGUGAAAGCUCGACGCUCAACGUCGAGUCGGCCACUGAUACUGUUGGGCUGGAGCACUGUAGAGGCUCAUGGAAUUCCGGGUGUAGCGGUGGAAUGCGUAGAGAUCCGGAAGAACACCGGUGGCGAAGGCGGUGAGCUGGGCAGUAGCUGACACUGAGGCGCGACAGCGUGGGGAGCAAACAGGG
rnacentral:rRNA from 1 species